AGGUUGGUUCGGCCAUAAGGUGUCUAGCCUCUCACUAGUCAUGCGUUUGUUACCCUUGAUUGUCGUGUUCUGUUUGGUGCUUGUCACCGUUGAAGGCGGCCGCUGUCGCUACUUCGGGCAGGCGUGUGGGCGUUGGAAAAGGGACGUCUGUCGAUGGUGCGACGCAUCCCACAAGCGCCUUUGCUGCCUUUGGGGAGACACGAAACGUGAAUGCAGGGCAAAAUGUCACCGGCCGAGAUUCUGCACCACGCUUCGGCAGACCUGUUACAAGGGCUGGUGCUGCUACCCUUGCAGAGGAAAAUAUUGCAAAAAAGGUUAAAUGCCCCGCCGACCUCCCGCGUGCCGCUGUGAUCAGGAAAUGGAAGAUGACUGAAGUGUCGAAGACUGGAAGCACCAUUCUUGACGUUCUCAAUAUCUUUGCACUCUGUCCAUUUGGAUUUUUUGCACACGUUAAUGGAUAACUAUCGGUCGGAUCACUUCAUCAAGCCUGUGUUCAAUAAAUCUUUAGGUUAU
rnacentral:lncRNA from 1 species